CUCAGGCCUAUUUUCUACGCAUAAAAUCGGCGUUACUGUCAAUUUUCCCAACGCAACAAUCAGAGCAUCACCUGAAAGGAUUUUGGAUGAGCGUUUCCGAUGAUAAGUUUAGCGAUGGAGGAGACUCCGAGAUCCAAACCAAGUCCGUAUCAGGACGCAGCACCGGCUGGUCCGAGCUGACUCACGAGUGCUUGAUCAGCAUACUCUCUCGACUCACCUUGGAGCACCGAUGGCGAGGACCUAUGCUGGUCUGCAAGUCCUGGCUCAGCGCCUGCAAGGACCCCUC
rnacentral:misc_RNA from 1 species